ACUAAGCAUAGAUGUAAUCACGAGUCAACGGGUGAGUAAACCCGUAAGGCGUAAGGAAGCUGAUUGGUGGGAUCCCCUUGUGGGUUGCAUCGCCGAUCGACCCUGAUCUUCUGUAAAGGGUUCGAGUGAGAGCAUACCUAUCGGGACCCGAAAGAUGGGGAACUAUGCCUAAGCGGGGCGAAGCCAGAGGAAACUCUGGUGGAGGCCCGCAACGAUACUAACGUGCAAAUCGUUCGUUUGACUUGGGUAUAGGGGCAAAAGACUAAUCGAAGCGUCUAGUAGUUGGUUCCCUCCGAAGUUUCCCUCAAGAUAGCUAGAGCCCGCGGGCGAGUUCUAUCCGGUAAAGCCAAUGAUCAGAGGCAUCGAGGGCGUAACGCCCUCGAUCUAUUCUCAAACUUUAAAUAGGUAGGACGGUGUGAAUGCUCUGUUGAGCCGUGCCACAUAAUCUAGAGCUCCAAGUGGGCCAUUUUUGGUAAGCAGAACUGGCGAUACGAGAUGACCAGAAGCUGGGUUACGGUGCCCAACUGCGCGCUAACCUAGCCCUACAAAGGGUGUUGGUUGAUUAAGACAAUAGGAUGGUGGUUAUGGAAGUCAAAAUCCGCUAAGGAGUGUGUAACAACUCACCUACCCAAUCAACUAGCCCCAAAAAUGGAUGGCGCUAAAGCGAUAGACCUAUACCCCACCGUCGGGGCAAGGACCAAGCCCCGAUGAGUAGGACGACGCGACGGUCGCUGUAAAACCCAAGGCGUGAGCUCGGGCGGAGCGGUCGUCGCUGCAGAUCUUGGUGGUAGUAGCAAAA
rnacentral:ncRNA from 2 species